CUUGAAGAUUGCGGAUUUAUUCCGUUGCUCAGGGAGCCGGGCUGGCUGCAGAGACGGGGGUGGGGGCCGUGCAGGUGCAGGUGUGGCUUUAGGUCCUGCUCCCCGGCCGGCCCUGUCGGAGGCCAGGAAGCUCCUAGGAGGCUGGAGCUAUUGUCUCUCUUUGCAGCAACCGCCCAAGGGAGGCAUGAGUCUUGCACUGGUGCACAGAGGCAAAUACAAGGCUCAAGGGGCCAUGCCCAGAAGAGCAGAGGAAGCUGUCAGAGCAUCAGCCAGCAAUGCCCCUCCAGGGGAGCACAUGGCCCCUCCCCAGCCUGGGACUCUCCCCACAAUGCUCAGCCAAGCCUUUAGAAGAGGCCCAUUUCCUGUACUCGGAUUCCUGCAAAUCCUCACGACCUGCCUGCUCCCAGGAUCUUGUCCAUGGACCCUCCUUCUACAGCCGCUGCCCUCUGGGGAGCCCCCUCUUGUCCGGGGUGCUGCCCGUCUCUGCUGGGCUGGCUGCCUGCUCUCCCCUCGUCCAUCCUCUCCUUGGCCCCCUCUUUGGCUCAGAGCCCACCUAAAGGAGUCCCAUGGCCAGCAGCAGAGAUUUUCAAAUUCUGAGUCACAGCCCAAUAUUUACUAUGCAAUCCAUUUGGCGUAAGAGAUCAGCAUUUUAACAUAUAUAGUAUGGAAUAGAAUAGAAUAUGCAAGAUCCUUUUU
rnacentral:lncRNA from 1 species